rnacentral:tRNA from 1 species
CGGGGCGUAGCGCAGCGGUAGCGCGCUUGGUUUGGGACCAAGAGGUCGGCAGUUCAAACCUGCCCGCCCCGACCA